rnacentral:lncRNA from 10 species
UUUGCUGAGUUGGGGAACACUGGAGAGGAUCAGUUUUGGGAGUUUAAGGAAGAAUCAGGAGAUAUUGAGAGGUUGCCCUUCAUCACUCAGCAGUGAAGAAUGAAAAUCAACAGAGCUUUCCCCAGCCUGCUGCUUAAGCAGCUGCUAGCAGGCUGAGGCUGCCCAGCCUCAUUAACCCAUUAGAUGCUGCGUUCGCCCGGGAGUCAUUCUUAAUGAGGCUGCUGCAGAUGAGAAAACAGAAGCAAAGGCAGAAAGAUGCUACAUUGCCAGCUUUGAAGAUGGAGGGAAGAGGUCACAAACCAAGGAAGGCAAUGAGGACGUUGCACAAGACAGUCCCUGAUACCCAGAGUUUACUGCCUAAGAGAGGAUACAUCCUUCAAACCAAUAAUCUGCUAAUAGCAAGAUCCAAUAGCUUCAUGGAUAUUGAAAGAAACUGAGAAUCAAAUUUGCAUACUUCUGAGUCACUUGGAAACAAAAAACAAGUACAGUCUUAGAUUCUGAGGGAACAAAAAUUAAAAAUCACAUUAGGAAGAGAAUUCCUAAUGUAGGAACUCAUCCUGGAAGAUUCUUCAGCAAAAGUACAG